UACGUAGGUGACAAGCGUUGUCCGGAUUUACUGGGCGUAAAGAGCGCGCAGGCGGUCGAUCAAGUCGAGUGUGAAAGCCCCCGGCUCAACUGGGGAGGGUCACUCGAUACUGAUCGACUUGAAGGCAGGAGAGGGAAGCGGAAUUCCCGGUGUAGUGGUGAAAUGCGUAGAUAUCGGGAGGAACACCAGUGGCGAAGGCGGCUUCCUGGCCUGUUCUUGACGCUGAGGCGCGAAAGCUAGGGGAGCAACGGGG
rnacentral:rRNA from 1 species